rnacentral:rRNA from 1 species
GUCAAGUCAUCAUGGCCCUUACGACCAGGGCUACACACGUGCUACAAUGGUCGGUACAAAGGGUUGCUACCUAGCGAUAGGAUGCUAAUCUCAAAAAGCCGAUCGUAGUCCGGAUUGGAGUCUGCAACUCGACUCCAUGAAGUCGGAAUCGCUAGUAAUCGUGGAUCAGAAUGCCACGGUGAAUACGUUCCCGGGCCUUGUACACACCG